UGCUAAACUGAACUUUCUGAUUCCUACGAUUUAAAAAGGUGACAAUGGGUGGGGGUUAGAGGGGGAGGUGAGAUAACUGGGCUAUCCAAGUGUGGCUUGAGAAAAAAAGGUCCACUUCACGAAGUAGUCAAAGUAGGGGGUAGGAAAAACCGGUCUGGCCAAGUGACAAACCCAGGAUGCUGACCGAGCUUGGAGGUGGAGGGCCCUGGAGGCCAGGGACCGGAGAAGGGAGAUCUCGGGCAAACCGUAGGGGAAGAGCAGCACCAACGCAGAGACCGACGCUGCCACGGAGCAGCAUGUAAGGGGACACCACGAAGGAAACGAUGAGUUAGGAGGUAGCGACAGCAAGAGGGUGGCCAGUGCCACGGGCGACGGGCAAGUGGCAACUACGAAAGAAGAGGCACAGCAGCCGGAGGUGGUGGGACUGUGUUGAGUCAGCACAGCUCCUAUUCAGGGGGCACUUGUAGGAUCCCCGUUGCUCUUCGGGCCCCGGGGCCCGCUACGGAGGGUCGGGACCGCGGUCAGGAGAAACGCUGUUCUCGGAAGAGCUGGCGCCGGCCCCUUCCCCAUUUCACAGGCUAACCCUUAGUCCCUAAUGUCCUUAUGACCAUGGUCACGGGCUUCCUCUGAGCCCCACUGGAACUGAAAGGGAUGACCUGUGAUCUGCAACCACCAGUAAGAACAAACUACAGAGUACAGUUGUGCGCUAAUUUCAACAGCAUGUCUGUUUUGCUGCAGCACAUGGACAUUUAUGAGAAGUUAAGUCCAGAGUUGAUUUGCAAAGUCCCAUUUUGAUAACUCUGCCUCCCUUGCCACAGAAGUGGCCGUGGAACUUGCACCUGAUUAAUUUGAGCAACAGUGAUUAGUGAAUUGACAAGUGAUAUAAGCAGAGAUGGAAUCCCUUUCUGGCUUUGAUACUAUGUAUGUUCAGGAUACUAUAUUUUUGGGGUUGCUAAGUAGAAUCUGCUGGCAAGUAUGUUCUGUGCCACAUAAAGGAGGCAUAUCUGCAGAGCAGGAGAAAGUGAUAUUAAUAUGUCAAGAGAAGUAGAGACAAGCAGAAAUGAGCAGCAGAAAGAGUAUGUUCUGGGAAUGUUGAGUUCCCAGAUCCAAUUCUUUCUAUAGGCAUUACUUUCUGUAGCCAUUUCUUCAUUUCUAUGAGUUAUUUCAGUAUCUUGCCAGAAACAUGGACCACUACAUUUACCUUUGCCUUAAAAUAACAUGAACUGAUUUCCUCUUUACUUGUAAUAUUAGAGUCCCGACUAAUACAAAUCCCUGUGCAGUUAAUGGGUGGGCUUUGGCAAGUCUGCAAACUGCAUGAAAUUGUAUGCAAGAUUUUGUGUUCGAUUCUAAGUGCACUUUGCACCCCCGCCUCCCGGGAAUAGUUUUGUAGUUUGCCUCAGAUUCAAAAAAGACCUAUAAGCCCACAAAAGCUGACUUAAGUUAGUAUGAAUAAAAAUAAACUAAGCAAAUAGCUUUCUGUGUCAGAAUUUACUCAGAAUAUACCAUACCAAGGUGGUUACAUUCACCUGUGUAUGGAUUGGAGUCUGUCUUUGCCUGAUGUUUUUAAACUAGAUUCUAAGGCUUCCUAAGAGCUUUAAAUACCAAAGACACUUAUUUUUCAUUUAAUUCCUUCCUUGUUACUUUCUUCACAUACUAGCCUAUUUGUAUAUGUGUGAUAUUGUUAGCAUAUUUCUCAAGAGAGUAAAACGAGAGGCACUUGCUAUUCACUUGUCAAACAUCAAAGAAGAUGAACAUCUAAUAAGAAGCCGCUAUCUAUAUUCUAAAAAACCUUUAGACUUGACUUUUAUCUACCUUUGGAAAUAACCUUCAGAAAAAUAAUAGGGAAAUAAUAUUAUGCAUUAAAUUUAAAUUUGAUAAAUACAACUCAGAUGUUUUAAGAUUACUUUCAAAAAGACUACUGGGUUAAGAAGCCAGUGAAAUUAAGUUAUAGGGCAGAAAGAAUCUUUAUUGAGGAAAAUUAAAACUGGACACAAUAUAAAUGAGAAAACAGUAAAAUAUAAGAAAUCCAUCUUGUUCUCUUGUGUGUUAGCUAUCAAGUGGAAAAUAAUUGUAUGUGAUAAAAAGCAAAAUAAAGUGUUCCCAAUACUAUGUAUUCAAUACCUUUACUUCAGAAAAAGCUAAAGCAAUUUCAUAAGAUGAUUUUUGUCUAAGAAAGUAAUUUAUUGCUUGGAUAAGCAUGACACAGAAGGCUGUGCAGGCCCCACUUACCUCACUGAAGCAAUAUUUUGUUAGCCUUUGUAACAGUUCUGGUUGAUUGUACCUAUUGCACCAGAAGAAAUUAUUUAAAUCUCAUUUAAAAUAUAACGGCCACAAUAAAGUAAUGUAGUCAAGGUUUCUUUGAAAAUAUAUUUGGUUUGAAAAUUAAAAUGUGGUACACUGAAGUUUCUAAGAACUAAAAAUACUUUGUCAUCAUAGCCAAUAGACAACAUUAUAAACAUCCUGUCAAGGCGGAAGUGAAUAAUGUUUAAGGCUUAUACUGAAUACAACUAGACUAAGAUAUCAGGUUAACUGGUAAAUCUAAUAAUGAAAGUUUAGGAGCUAAAGCUAUCAAAUCAACUGGACCAUUUUAACAAAAAUUUUACCACAUUCCAACUUUACUUUGAGAUGAAAUUUAGUGUUGCUUCUCUAAUCAUGUUAAUCAUUAAGUUCCCAGUUGAGAAUGAUUCAUAGAUGCACAGAAAGAAAUUCUAUCUUUAAUUCUAAGGCUACAGUAGGUUGUAUCUAUUUAAUGCGUAGUCAAGCUAGUCUGACCUUUAAGGCUAGCUUACAUUCUUGGAGUCUACAAUUGUCUUUAAAAAUAUUUCUUAUACUAUUGGCUAUAUUAUUAAUCCAAACGUGUACAAAUAGAUUGAUAGAUAAGCAUGAAAUAGAAAGGUAUGAAGGCCCCGAUGACCAA